GAUGAACCAUCUCUAAUUCAGCAUAUCGAUCAAGGAUGCUUGGGGGCAGUAUUUUGGAAUCAAGCUCCAUGUUGCCAAGGUCCCUGCAUACUUCAAGACCAAAUCCAGGGGAAGAUGGAAAGGCAUUUCUGGCUUGGAGCCCACGAGAGGACCUGGCAGGAGAAGAGGAGAACCAGGAAAUGGAGGGUCAUGGAAGGUGGAGAGAGGGGUCGAGAGGAUGACCCACAGCAUCAUAUGUUGAAGAGAACCUGAGGAAGAUGAGAACUGGCGAGGUUUAAGAUGUUUCAGUGGGAUGGUGCUGGUGGAAGAUGGAUCAAUGUAUGAAGUGGUGUGGAGUGAAAGAGUAGAAAUCUGUGUGUAACUAUUGAAGAAUUUUGCAAAUAAUAAAUGGAUGGGGAUGAGUUGAUAACUUGAGAGAAUAGUCUUUUAGAUUUUAAUCAAGAGGGGUCACUUGAGCAUGUUG